rnacentral:rRNA from 1 species
GACGAACGCUGGCGGCGUGCCUAACACAUGCAAGUCGAACGGAACUGUUUUGAAAGAUUUCUUCGGAAUGAAUUUGAUUUAGUUUAGUGGCGGACGGGUGAGUAACGCGUGAGUAACCUGCCUUCAAGAGGGGAAUAACAUUCUGAAAAGAAUGCUAAUACCGCAUGACAUAUCGGAACCACAUGGUUUUGAUAUCAAAGAUUUUAUCGCUUGAAGAUGGACUCGCGUCCGAUUAGUUAGUUGGUGAGGUAACGGCUCACCAAGACCGCGAUCGGUAGCCGGACUGAGAGGUUGAACGGCCACAUGGGGACUGAGACACGGCCCAGACUCCUACGGGAGGCAGCAGUGGGGGAUAUUGCGCAAUGGGGGCAACCCUGACGCAGCAACGCCGCGUGAAGGAGGAAGGUUUUCGGAUUGUAAACUUCUUUUAUUAAGGACGAAAAAUGACGGUACUUAAUGAAUAAGCGCCGGCUAACUACGUG